rnacentral:rRNA from 1 species
CCUACGGGCGGCAGCAGUGAGGAAUAUUGGUCAAUGGACGAGAGUCUGAACCAGCCAAGUCGCGUGAAGGAUGACUGCCCUAUGGGUUGUAAACUUCUUUUAUAAAGGAAUAAAACGAGGCACGCGUGCCUGUUUGCAUGUACUGUAUGAAUAAGGAUCGGCUAACUCCGUGCCAGCAGCCGCGGUAAUACGGAGGAUCCGAGCGUUAUCCGGAUUUAUUGGGUUUAAAGGGAGCGUAGAUGGGUUGUUAAGUUAGUUGUGAAAGUCUGCGGCUCAACCGUAAAAUUGCAAUUGAUACUGGUAGUCUUGAGUACAGUUGAGGUAGGCGGAAUGCGUGGUGUAGCGGUGAAAUGCUUAGAUAUCACGCAGAACCCCGAUUGCGAAGGCAGCUUACUAAGCUGUGACUGACGUUGAUGCACGAAAGUGUGGGUAGCAAACAGGAUUAGAUACCCGUGUAGUC